AACGAACGCUGGCGGUGUGCUUAACACAUGCAAGUCGAACGGAGAAAGUUUCCUUCGGGAAGCGAGUAAAGGUGGCGCAAGGGUGAGUAACCACGUGAAUAAUCUACCCUCGAGACUGGGAUAACCUGGUGAAAACUAGGCUAAUACCGGAUAAGACCACGUCCCUCAAGGGAUGCGGGAAAAGGAGGCUCAACCUCCACUUGUGGAUGAGUUCGCGGACCAGUUACGCUUGUUGGUGAGGAUAACAGCUCACCAAGGCUACGAUGGAUAGCCGGCCUGAGAGGGUGAACGGCCACACUGGAACUGAGACACGGUCCAGACUCCUACGGGAGGCAGCAGUGGGAAUAUUGCGCAAUGGGCGAAGGCCUGACGCAGCAACACCGCGUGAGCGAUGG
rnacentral:rRNA from 1 species